UCUAAAUGGUGUCAAGUUAGGAAAAGGGGAAGUACAACGAGAUCUAGGUGCUCUUGUACAUCAGUCACGGACAGUAAGCAUGCAGGUACAGCAGGCAGUGAAGAAAGCUAAUGGCAUGUUGGCCUUCAUAACAAGACGAUUUGAGUAUAGAGGCAAAGAGGUCCUUCCGCAGUUGUACAGGGCCCUGGUGAGACCCCACCUGGAGUAUUGUGUGAAGUUCUGGUCUCCAAAUUUGAGGAAGGACAUUCUUGCUAUUGAGGGAGUGGAGCGUAGGUUCACGAGGUUAAUUCCCGGAAUGGCGGGACUGUCAUAUGUUGAAAGAUUGGAGAGACUGGGCUUGUAUACACUGGAAUUUAGAAGGAUGAGAGGGGAUCCGAUUGAGCAUAUAAGAUUAUUAACUGAUUGGACAUGCUAGAGGCAGGAAAAAUGUUCCGGAUGUUGGGGGAGUCUAGAACCAGAGGCCACAGUUUAAGAAUAAGGGGUAGGCCAUUUAGAACGGAGUUGAGGAAAAACUUUUUCACCCAGAGAGUGGUGGAUAUGUGGAAUGCUCUGCCCCAGAAGGCAGUGGAGGCCAAUUCUCUGGAUGCUUUCAAGAAAGAUAGAGCUCUUAAAGAUAGCGGAGCCCUGGGAUAUGGGGAGAGGGCAGGAAAGGGGUAUUGAUUGUGGAUGAUCAGCCAGGAUUACAUUGAAUGGCGGUGCUGGUUCAAAGGGCUGAAUGGCCGACUCCUGCACCUAUAGUCUAUUGUUUCAAUAAGCGCCAGCAUUGCAUUUGUCUUCUUUACCACAGACUCGGCCUCAGAAUUAACCUUCCAGGAGUCCUGCACGAGGUCUCCCAAGUCGCUCUGCACCUCUUAAUGUUCGAACCUUCUCCCCGAGGCUCCCGCCAAGACCAAAUACGGCCCGCUGAAGGAUGAGGACCGUAUCUUCACCAACCUGUAUGGCAGGCACGACUGGAGGCUGAAGGGAGCGCUACGGCGGGGCGACUGGUACAAGACGAAGGAGAUCCUGCUGAAGGGGGCGGACUGGAUCCUCGGGGAGGUGAAGACGUCUGGGCUGAGGGGUCAGGGAGGGGCCGGGUUUCCAACCGGCAUGAAGUGAGUCUUCGUGAACAAGCCUUCAGAUGGCAGGUCUGGAGGGAGGUUCACUCCGUGUCUGACCCCGGGUGUGUGUGAUGGGACGGUGAGGAGGGAGAUUCGCUCUGUGUCUGACCCCGGGAGUGUGUAAUGGGACGGUGUGUAGGGAGAUUCACACUGUGUCUGACCCCGGGAGUGUGUGAUGGGACGGUGCGGAGGGAGAUUCACUGUGUCUGACCCCGGGAGUGUGUGAUGGGACGGUGUGGAGAGAGAUUCACUCUGUGUCUGACCCCGGGAGUGUGUGAUGGGACGGUGUGGAGGGAGAUUCACUCUGUGUCUGACCCCGGGUGUGUCUGAUGGGACGGUGAGGAGGGUGAUUCACUCUGUGUCUGACCCCGGGAGUGUGUGAUGGGACGGUGUGGAGGGAGAUUCACUCUGUGUCUGACCCCGGGAGUGUGUGAUGGGACGGUGUGGAGGGAGAUUCACUCUGUGUCAGACCCCGGGAGUGUGUGAUGGGAC